AGAGUUUGAUCAUGGCUCAGAACGAACGCUGGCGGCAUGNNUAACACAUGCAAGUCGAACGUGAUCCAGGCUUCGGUCUGGUAAAAGUGGCAGACGGGUGAGUAACGCGUGGGAACCUGCCCUGUGGUAGGGAAUAACCGCGGGAAACUGCGGCUAAUACCCUAUGUGUCCUGAGGGACAAAGAUUUAUCGCCAUAGGAGGGGCCCGCGUCGGAUUAGGUAGUUGGUGGGGUAACGGCCUACCAAGCCAUCGAUCCGUAGCUGGUCUGAGAGGAUGAUCAGCCACACUGGGACUGAGAUACGGCCCAGACUCCUACGGGAGGCAGCAGUGGGGAAUAUUGGACAAUGGGGGCAACCCUGAUCCAGCAAUGCCGCGUGGAUGAUGAAGGCCUUCGGGUUGUAAAGUCCUUUCGGCGGGGAAGAUGAUGACGGUACCCGCAGAAGAAGCCCCGGCUAACUUCGUGCCAGCAGCCGCGGUAAUACGAAGGGGGCUAGCGUUGUUCGGAAUUACUGGGCGUAAAGGGCGCGUAGGCUGUGCUGCAAGUCAGGCGUGAAAGGCCCGGGCUCAACCUGGGAACUGCGCAUGAUACUGCGGCGCUUGAAGGCGGGAGAGGAUGGCGGAAUUCCCAGUGUAGAGGUGAAAUUCGUAGAUAUUGGGAAGAACACCGGUGGCGAAGGCGGCCAUCUGGCCCGUGAUUGACGCUGAGGCGCGAAGGCGUGGGGAGCAAACAGGAUUAGAUACCCCCGUAGUCC
rnacentral:rRNA from 1 species